UACGUAGGGGGGCAAGCGUUGUCCGGAUUUAUUGGGCGUAAAGAGCGUGUAGGCGGCCAGGUAGGUCAGCUGUGAAAACUCGAGGCUCAACCUCGAGACGCCGGUUGAAACCAUCUGGCUAGAGUCCGGAAGAGGAGAGUGGAAUUCCUGGUGUAGCGGUGAAAUGCGCAGAUAUCAGGAAGAACACCCGUGGCUAAGGCGGCUCUCUAGUACGGUACUGACGCUGAGACGCGAAAGCGUGGGGAGCGAACAGG
rnacentral:rRNA from 1 species